rnacentral:rRNA from 1 species
UUUCACUCAAGAUAGCUGGAGUUCAUACAUGCAGUUUUAUUAGGAAAGCGAAUGAUAAGAGAACUUAUAGGGUAGAAAAGACCUUAACCUAUUCUCAAACUUUAAAGAUUUACCUGAAGUGUAAUUAUUAUAUAAUCGAGCUUUUUCUGAUUGAUUUCCA